UCCUCCAAGGCUAAAUACUCCUGACUGACCGAUAGUGAACCAGUACCGUGAGGGAAAGGCGAAAAGAACCCCGGCGAGGGGAGUGAAAAAGAACCUGAAACCGUGUACGUACAAGCAGUGGGAGCACCCUUUGGGGUGUGACUGCGUACCUUUUGUAUAAUGGGUCAGCGACUUAUAUUCUGUAGCAAGGUUAACCGAAUAGGGGAGCCGGAGGGAAACCGAGUCUUAAUUGGGCGUUAAGUUGCAGGGUAUAGACCCGAAACCCGGUGAUCUAGCCAUGGGCAGGUUGAAGGUUGGGUAACACUAACUGGAGGACCGAACCGACUAAUGUUGAAAAAUUAGCGGAUGACCUGUGGCUGGGGGUGAAAGGCCAAUCAAACCGGGAGAUAGCUGGUUCUCCCCGAAAGCUAUUUAGGUAGCGCCUCGUGAACUCAUCUCCGGGGGUAGAGCACUGUUUCGGCUAGGGGGCCAUCCCGGCUUACCAACCCGAUGCAAACUGCGAAUACCGGAGAAUGUUAUCACGGGAGACACACGGCGGGUGCUAACGUCCGUCGUGAA
rnacentral:rRNA from 1 species